CCAAUGUGGGCAUCCAGCAAGGUGGCUGUUGCGUGGCUCUGCCCAAGUGGCGCAUGGGAGCAUAGCUCUGUGAGGGGCGAUGAUGUAGGGUCCCAUUCCACAACAUUGGACAGAAAGUUUUUUCCUCCCUGGCUGACAAAGCUGGUGGAGGAGGCGUCCUGUAUAUUCCUAUACCUUCUCAGCAUUUAUGGUUGCUGAGGAGACAAACCAUGCAGGACACAUCU